AUGCAUGAGUGGCCAGGGGCUCACACGGAGCAGCAAGCAAAAAGCAGUAGCAGUCAAUUGAGCAGCAGCGACGGCGGCAACAUAGCAAGAAGAAAGCAGCCGGCGGCAAGCAGUAGCAUUAGAGAGCAGCAGCAGCAUGUAGCAGCGGCGGCAGCAGUGGGAGGCUUCAGCAGAGAGCAGCAGCACUACCAGCGGCUGCACACAGGGGAGAGCGGACGGGCGCGGCCAGCAUGCUGGCCGGGCGUAGCGGGCGCGCACGCGCACGCGCGUGGCACGACCAGUGUGUGGGGUUGGGCGCCCACGCGAGCAGAGCUCCGGCCGCAGCCACGGCGGAGCGUCGGACGCGGUGGAACCAGCGGCUAA
rnacentral:rRNA from 1 species